rnacentral:rRNA from 1 species
GCUGGCGGCGUGCUUAACACAUGCAAGUCGUACGAGAACUCUUUAGCUUGCUAAAGAUAGUAAAGUGGCGCACGGGUGAGUAACGCGUGGGUAAUCUACCUCCAUAUCGGGAAUAACCCGCCGAAAGGCGAGCUAAUACCGGAUAAUAUCUUUUUAACUUCGGUUUUAAAGAUCAAAGGUGGUCUCUACAUGUAAGCUACUGUUUGGAGAUGAGCCCGCGUACCAUUAGCUUGUUGGUAGGGUAAGAGCCUACCAAGGCUUCGAUGGUUAGCUGGUCUGAGAGGAUGAUCAGCCACACUGGAACUGACACACGGUCCAGACUCCUACGGGAGGCAGCAGUGAGGAAUUUUGCGCAAUGGGGGAAACCCUGACGCAGCAACGCCGCGUGAGCGAUGAAGGCUUUCGAGUCGUAAAGCUCUGUCAAGUGGGAAGAAAAUGCUUGAUAUUAAUACCAUCUUGCACUGACGGUACCACUAAAGGAAGCACCGGCUAACUCCGUG